ACGAACGCUGGCGGCGUGGAUAAGACAUGCAAGUCGAACGAGAGAAUUGCUAGCUUGCUAAUAAUUCUCUAGUGGCGCACGGGUGAGUAACACGUGAGUAACCUGCCCCCGAGAGCGGGAUAGCCCUGGGAAACUGGGAUUAAUACCGCAUAGUAUCGAAAGAUUAAAGCAGCAAUGCGCUUGGGGAUGGGCUCGCGGCCUAUUAGUUAGUUGGUGAGGUAACGGCUCACCAAGGCGAUGACGGGUAGCCGGUCUGAGAGGAUGUCCGGCCACACUGGAACUGAGACACGGUCCAGACACCUACGGGUGGCAGCAGUCGAGAAUCAUUCACAAUGGGGGAAACCCUGAUGGUGCGACGCCGCGUGGGGGAAUGAAGGUCUUCGGAUUGUAAACCCCUGUCAUGUGGGAGCAAAUUAAAAAGAUAGUACCACAAGAGGAAGAGACGGCUAACUCUGUGCCAGCAGCCGCGGUAAUACAGAGGUCUCAAGCGUUGUUCGGAAUCACUGGGCGUAAAGCGUGCGUAGGCUGUUUCGUAAGUCGUGUGUGAAAGGCGCGGGCUCAACCCGCGGACGGCACAUGAUACUGCGAGACUAGAGUAAUGGAGGGGGAACCGGAAUUCUCGGUGUAGCAGUGAAAUGCGUAGAUAUCGAGAGGAACACUCGUGGCGAAGGCGGGUUCCUGGACAUUAACUGACGCUGAGGCACGAAGGCCAGGGGAGCGAAAGGGAUUAGAUACCCCUGUAGUCCUGGCAGUAAACGGUGCACGCUUGGUGUGCGGGGAAUCGACCCCCUGCGUGCCGGAGCUAACGCGUUAAGCGUGCCGCCUGGGGAGUACGGUCGCAAGAUUAAAACUCAAAGAAAUUGACGGGGACCCGCACAAGCGGUGGAGUAUGUGGCUUAAUUCGAUGCAACGCGAAGAACCUUACCUGGGCUUGACAUGUAAUGAACAACAUGUGAAAGCAUGCGACUCUUCGGAGGCGUUACACAGGUGCUGCAUGGCCGUCGUCAGCUCGUGUCGUGAGAUGUUUGGUUAAGUCCAGCAACGAGCGCAACCCCUGUUGCCAGUUACCAGCACGUGAAGGUGGGGACUCUGGCGAGACUGCCCAGAUCAACUGGGAGGAAGGUGGGGACGACGUCAGGUCAGUAUGGCCCUUAUGCCCAGGGCUGCACACGUACUACAAUGCCCAGUACAGAGGGGGCCGAAGCCGCGAGGCGGAGGAAAUCCUAAAAACUGGGCCCAGUUCGGACUGUAGGCUGCAACCCGCCUACGCGAAGCCGGAAUCGCUAGUAAUGGCGCAUCAGCUACGGCGCCGUGAAUACGUUCCCGGGUCUUGUACACACCGCCCGUCACAUCAUGGAAGCCGGUCGCACCCGAAGUAUCUGAAGCCAACCGCAAGGAGGCAGGGUCCUAAGGUGAGACUGGUAACUGGGAUG
rnacentral:rRNA from 1 species